UCAGAGAGGCCAACUAAUCCAGAUUUGGAUUCAGACAUAAUUACAUAAAUACAAGAGAAAAUGGAAGUUGCUGUAGAAACAAACCCCAAAAGCUCUCUGCAACACACCCUACUGGAUCACUAGUUAAGCUGCAUCUGCAAAGAUUGAAGGAUUCUGAUGCUAAAAAAUGAUCAACAAUUUCAAAGUUCUUGCAGUCUGAAAAAUCUCAUGAUUCUCCAGAAUCAGAAACAAAUGAAUUUCUAAAGGUUGAUGCACUGUUACAGUUUCUCGUCAGUUCAAAGCCUUCAUCUGUUGAAGAAAUUUCAAUGUCAUUCAAAAUUUAGAGUUUCCCUUUAAACCAGAAGCCAAACCCAAAUCAUGUUGUUAACCAUCAAAAUCUCAUACUUUGUACAUCAAUUUGAUGUGAUUAAACAAAGCUGUAUAUAUUUUUUGAUCAAGAAGUUGUAUAUAUAUUUUUAAUCAGAAUGAACCAACCUCUACAAACGUUGAAUAAUUGAAUAAUAGUCUAG
rnacentral:lncRNA from 1 species